UGGGGAAUAUUGGACAAUGGGCGAAAGCCUGAUCCAGCCAUGCCGCGUGUGUGAAGAAGGUCUUCGGAUUGUAAAGCACUUUAAGUUGGGAGGAAGGGCAUUAACCUAAUACGUUAGUGUUUUGACGUUACCGACAGAAUAAGCACCGGCUAACUCUGUGCCAGCAGCCGCGGUAAUACAGAGGGUGCAAGCGUUAAUCGGAAUUACUGGGCGUAAAGCGCGCGUAGGUGGUUUGUUAAGUUGGAUGUGAAAUCCCCGGGCUCAACCUGGGAACUUCAUUCAAAACUGACUGACUAGAGUAUGGUAGAGGGUGGUGGAAUUUCCUGUGUAGCGGUGAAAGGCGUAGAUAUAGGAAGGAACA
rnacentral:rRNA from 1 species